GGGGAUAUAGCUCAGCUGGGAGAGCGCCUGCCUUGCACGCAGGAGGUCAGCGGUUCGAUCCCGCUUAUCUCCACCAAUC
rnacentral:tRNA from 1 species